AGCAGCCGCGGUAAUUCCAGCUCCAAUAGCGUAUAUUAAAGUUGUUGCAGUUAAAAAGCUCGUAGUUGAAUUUCGGGGUUAGUAGGUUGGUCAUGCCUCUGGUAUGUACUGGUCUCACUGAUUCCUCCUUCCUGAUGAACCUUAAUGCCAUUAAUUUGGUGUUUUGGGGAAUUUGGACUGUUACUUUGAAAAAAUUAGAGUGUUUAAAGCAAGCUAACGCUUGAAUACAUUAGCAUGGAAUAAUGAAAUAGGACGUUCGAUCCUAUUUUGUUGGUUUCUAGGAUUGACGUAAUGAUUAAUAGGGAUAGUUGGGGGCAUUAGUAUUCAAUUGUCAGAGGUGAAAUUCUUGAAUUUAUUGAAGACUAACUACUGCGAAAGCAUUUGCCAAGGAUGUUUUCAUUAAUCAAGAACGAAAGUUAGGGGAUCGAAGACGAUCAGAUACCGUCGUAGUCUUAACCAUAAACUAUGCCGACUAGGGAUCGGAUGAUGUUAAUUUUUUAAUGACUCA
rnacentral:rRNA from 1 species